UACGUAGGUGACCAGCGUUGUCCGGAUUUACUGGGCGUAAAGAGCGCGCAGGCGGUCGUUCAAGUCGAGUGUGAAAGCCCCCGGCUCAACUGGGGAGGGUCAUUCGAUACUGAUCGACUUGAAGGCAGGAGAGGGAAGCGGAAUUCCCGGUGUAGUGGUGAAAUGCGUAGAUAUCGGGAGGAACACCAGUGGCGAAGGCGGCUUCCUGGCCUGUUCUUGACGCUGGAGGCGCGAAACUAGGGGAGCAAAGCGGGAUUAGAACCCAUGGUAGUCCAAGAACCGAUGUACUCUGCUACCAAGUCA
rnacentral:rRNA from 1 species